rnacentral:rRNA from 1 species
AAAGGAAUAGACGGGGGCCCGCACAAGCGGUGGAGCAUGUGGUUUAAUUCGAUGCAACGCGAAGAACCUUACCAGGGCUUGACAUCCCUCUGACAGCAUCAGAGAUGGUGUUUCUCUUCGGAGCAGAGGAGACAGGUGGUGCAUGGCUGUCGUCAGCUCGUGUCGUGAGAUGUUGGGUUAAGUCCCGCAACGAGCGCAACCCUUGCCUUUAGUUGCCAUCAUUAAGUUGGGCACUCUAGAGGGACUGCCGGCGACAAGUCGGAGGAAGGUGAGGUUGACGUCAAGUCAUCAUGCCCCUUAUGUCCUGGGCUACACACGUGCUACAAUGGUCAGUACAGAGGGGAGCGAAGGGGUGACCUGGAGCAAAUCCCAUAAAGCUGAUCUCAGUUCGGAUUGCAGUCUGCAACUCGACUGCAUGAAGUCGGAAUCGCUAGUAAUCUCGGGUCAGCAUACCGAGGUGAAUACGUUCCCGGGCCUUGUACACACCGCCCGU